rnacentral:snRNA from 1 species
AAUCUCGUGUGGAACAAAAGGGUAA